ensembl:snRNA U1 U1 spliceosomal RNA
AUACUUACCUGGCAGGGGAGAUGCCAUGAUCAUGAAGGUGGAUAAGAGUGAGGCUUAUCCAUUGCACUCCUGAUGUACUGACCCCUGCGAUUUCCCCAAAUGUGGGAAACUCGGCUGCAUAAUUUGUGGUGGUGGUGGGGGGACUGCAUUUGCACUUUCCCCUG